AACGCACAUUGCGCCCCUUGGUAUUCCGGGGGGCAUGCCUGUUCGAGCGUCACUUCAACCCCUCAAGCUCCGCUUGGUGUUGGGCCCCGCUGGGAACGGCGGGCCCUAAAACAAGUGGCGGUGCUCUCAGGCCCCAAGCGUGGUACAUACUCUCGCUACGGGUCCCUGAGGGUCGCUGGCCAUCAACCCUAAAUCUCAUUCAUGGUUGACCUCGGAUCAGGUAGGGAUACCCGCUGAACUUAA
rnacentral:misc_RNA from 1 species